GAUGAACGCUAGCUACAGGCUUAACACAUGCAAGUCGAGGGGAAACGACAUCGAAAGCUUGCUUUUGAUGGGCGUCGACCGGCGCACGGGUGAGUAACGCGUAUCCAACCUGCCCACCACUUGGGGAUAACCUUGCGAAAGUAAGACUAAUACCCAAUGAUAUCCCACGAAGGCAUCCGAAUGGGAUUAAAGAUUUAUCGGUGAUGGAUGGGGAUGCGUCUGAUUAGCUUGUUGGCGGGGUAACGGCCCACCAAGGCUACGAUCAGUAGGGGUUCUGAGAGGAAGGUCCCCCACAUUGGAACUGAGACACGGUCCAAACUCCUACGGGAGGCAGCAGUGAGGAAUAUUGGUCAAUGGGCGAGAGCCUGAACCAGCCAAGUAGCGUGCAGGACGACGGCCCUAUGGGUUGUAAACUGCUUUUAUAAGGGAAUAAAGUGAGUCUCGUGAGACUUUUUGCAUGUACCUUAUGAAUAAGGACCGGCUAAUUCCGUG
rnacentral:rRNA from 1 species